rnacentral:lncRNA from 10 species
GGGAGAGGGGAGCGGGGCCGACACAGGACUGCAGUUGACAGCAGAUAACUGAAAGCUCGGAAAGCGAAACCGUGGAUAAGCAGGGGAACUGUGGCAUCCCAUUUAAAAUUGCUUCUGAAGAGAAGCAUGAGGUUACAUCUGUAAUCUCCCUGCAGCAGAGUCAACUGCAUAAGAAACCAAAAGACACACCUGCUCCAUGCCAGCCUAAGCCACCACAUAAAAAGUCAGACCAUCUGCUGGAAGAACCACAUGGAGAGGCCCUGAGUCAACAUGGAGAGGAAGAAGGACUUGACUGAAUCCAGCCUUCCAGCUGUCCCUACCAAGGUGCCAGGCAUGAGAAUGAAGCUGUCUUGAACUCUGAAGACCAGCUUAGCCACCAGGUAAAUGCCACUAAGUGACCUCACUCAAUGUCAUGUGGGACGGAAGAAUCACCCCGCCAAACCCUUCCUGGAUCCCUGACCCAGAAAUUUGUCAGAUGUAAUGGUUGUGAAAAGCCAUUCAAUUUGGGGGCAGUUUGUAUGCAGCAUAGCUAGCUGGUAUGAUACAACAGCCUGCAAUUCAGGCAGCAGCAGCACUAACAACGAUGAA